GCCAGGUGCUGUGGCGGGCGCCUGUAGUCCCAGCUACUUGGGAGGCUGAGGCAGGAGACUCACUUGAGCCCAGGAGUUGGAGGUUGCUGUGAGCAUGAUGCCAUGGCACUCUACCCAGGGGGAUAGCUUGAGGCUCCGUUUCAAAAAAAAAAUGUACAAUACUUCUAGUUUUUUUUUUUUGAGAUAGAAUCUCAAGCUAUUGCCCUAGGUAGAGUGUCAUGGCAUCAUAGCUCACAGCAACUUCCAACUCUUGGGCUCAAGGGAUCCUCUUGCCUCAG
rfam:Otolemur garnettii contig124664, whole genome shotgun sequence.